rnacentral:lncRNA from 1 species
GCUCUGCACUGGGAAGACCAGGCCCGACUCUGGUCCUGGUAGGUGGUAGGCAUCGCUGACUCGCCUUACUUUGUCCUCCCGUUGCCUUUCGUUUUUAAUAACCUGUGGUCACAGCUGUUUCCUGCACCUCACUGAGCCCAGAAUCUGAGCUUUUCUUUCAGUCUUCAGAUCCUGAUGUUUCCAAACUAGCAACAGUGGGCAGGAGACACACAGGCUGUGAAGGAUAGAGACUGGGUUAUACAGAUCCCAGAUGAUCUGCUUAUCCCAGUGCCUGCUGGGCAGUAGGUUUUGGGGACUAAGAGGUAGUGCGCAAGUGGUGGUUUCUCCCUGUAUCCUGAUUUGCAAAGGAGUUUAGUCUCUGAGUGGCAGUUGUGUGGUAGCU